AAUCAACGCUGGCGGCGUGCCUCAGACAUGCAAGUCGAACGCGAAAGUCCCCUUCGGGGACGAAGUAGAGUGGCGCACGGGUGAGUAACACGUAGGUAAUCUACCUUCGGAUGGGGAAGUAACAACCGGAAACGGUUAGCUAAUACCGCAUAAUGCAGCGGCACCUAAUGGUGACAGUUGUUAAAGCGGGGAGUCGAAAGACCUCGCGUCUGAAGAGGAGCCUGCGGCGGAUUAGCAGUUGGUAAGGUAAUGGCUUACCAAGGCGACGAUCCGUAGCCGGCCUGAGAGGGCGGUCGGCCACACUGACACUGACAUACGGGU
rnacentral:rRNA from 1 species